rnacentral:rRNA from 1 species
AUGGAUGAUACAUGGCUGAGUGGUAUUGAGGGAUUCAACGAUGGUCAUGGUCUCGUUCAGCUUAGUGGUGCUGCUAACGGCGAGCAAACAAGUGUUGAUGCCGGUGGGGGGACAGCUUCUGAUUUCAGUGAGAGGGAAGGAGAUAACGCGGAUGUGAUUGAGAAAGGGGACGCCCAGAUGAACAAGCACCCAGCCAUGGAUUCUGUCAUUGCAGACCAAGCACAGAGUGGAGAUGCAGCCUCAGCUCAUUCUACAGGAAAAAUGGAUCCACAAGCCCCAGGUUGGACAAGGGUCAGUGUUGGGAAGCACCCGCCAAACAAGGCACCAUGCCCAGAUAGAGUUGGCGCCCUGGAGCACACGAUUCGGGGGUAG